UUAUAAAGAAAGUUAGAGAGAGAAGGGGGAGGGAGUGCGUUGGUGGAGAUUCUUGGAUGGGUUGUCUUGCCAAUUCUUUUAAGGGUUUUCAUUAUCGAGGAUUUCUACCUUACCCCAGGUUCAGAGCAUGGUUGUAAGUCAGAUUGGAAUGAUGUUGUUAUCCUUAAAAUUAUGGGAGAGAUAGAAACAAAGUGGACAUUCGCCUACCCAUUCUCGAUGAUCAGGUGAAAUCAAGUUGGAAUUCUACUAGCAUUGGGAAAGCACUUAUGUAAUUACGUUCCCUACAACUCAACCAAUGUAAGGAAGACUUCUUCACUGAAACUCAAUUUAUUCAUAUUCUUUCUACAAAGUGAUUGUUGGACCCAAAAAAAAAAAAAUCUACAAACUGAUUGUUGACUUGAUCAAGCGGUCCAAAUGGCAAUGAAUCUGAAUCUGGUAGCAACAAAAGAAAGACUGUCUUCCAUUAGAAAAGUGAGGUUUUGAGAGAUUGAUAAUGGCACAAAGCAAUUGUUCGCAAGGAGGUGCAAUAAUUGAGGAAAGGCAAAAGAAUCAUAAUGGCACAAGGUAACUGUAAUCUUCGACCUACGGCAGUAGGAUUGAGCAGUAACAGAUGCAAAAUAAUACGGCUCAUAUGUCGGCAAUGAUGAUUCAACAAAACAAUGAAUUGUUAAGAAGAUAAGAGGGUUUUAAAGCAUCUCGAGUUUGGUUAAUGCCCUAUAUCAUGAUUUGGCUGUGUUGGCAUUGGAGAUGGAAGACAUGAUAGGAUCAUUCGGUGGGUAGCAAGAGAUUUCGAAACCAUAUAAAAUAUGUUCACCAAGAAUAUUGGAAAAGUUUACAUGGUGUAUCUAUGUCUUACAUUUAUUCAUUGAUCGGGACAGUUAUGUCAGAAUCACAGAAAAUAAUAAAUAAAAAAUUGAUCCAUUGAAACUUAGAAAUGGAUCGGGAGCAUUUUUCUAAUA